AAGCAGACCUAGCCCACCCCGCGACCCUCGUUCCUCGUGCGCCGCCGCCGCCCCCCGCCUGCGAUGGAGGAAGUGAGAGGAAAGAGGAGAGGGAGGUGAGGCAGCAGGCAGGAGAGGGUCACCGGCUGCUGUCGGCCUGCGCCGGCGAGGUCGGGCGCGACCUGGCGGUUGGUGGCGGCUCGAUCCGAUCCUGGAUCGGGAGAGGAGGAAGGGAGGUGGGGGGCCGGCCGUCUCUGUGUCUCCUCGACGCCGAGCUGCGGCUGCUCCGUGAGUAGGAGGAGGAAGGGAGGAGGAAGGGAGGAUGAGGAAGUAGACCAGCAGGAGGAAGAGAGGAUCUCGGGACGCGCUCCUUAUUGGACUUACUGUAGUAUAAACAGGCCUUGCCUUUAGCUUUGUGGAAUAUUUAGAUCGCGGCGAUAGGUUCGAGCGACGCCAACCGCGGCCAACGACCUUGAUGCGGAUGGCAGCGACUGAACCGGUGGACAUGGUCGACGUAUAGGGGAAUCCACAUUUCUCUUUGCUUCCAUGUCCACAGGAGAAAAUUGCUGAACAUUUUGGCAUCCCAAGAUUUCCUCCCCACGGUAUGCAGUGGCUCAAGGAAGCUGAAGAGGAAGGCUAAGAUGAUGAAGAAGAGUAGAGCCGGAGUGGAAUGCAUCGUUCUGCAAUUUGGGUGGUUUCUUGGUGGGUUUGCACCCAGGAAGUUUUGGAGACUUGAAAAUUUGUUUGUACAACAACAUAACUCCAGCGACAGAUCUGGUGGCUUCCUUUAUAUUUCGACAAGUAUAUGUAUAUCUGAGCUUGUCUUUGGGUUGGGUUGCUGCUGGCUGUGAAUGGGAUGGGUUCUUGUCUUCCUGGGUGUUCCUCUACCUCAGCUCAACAUGAGGAUCUUGGGCCGCGGUUGCACUGCACGAGGUGGCGCCAGCAAUAUGCCUCGCGUCUCUGUGAGCCAACGACAGCGAUGAGCCAGGGAGAGCAAUCAUGGAUUCGCUACGGCAUCGACGCCCCAUCUCAAGGUACAACACAUGUGCUACUAUUCUCACAAAGGGAAUACUUACUGUUGACCAUUACUACGUAUGCCAGAUGACAGAAACAUUUGCUACUGACGGCAAAAGAAUGGUAAUCUCAAACAAAUGCAUUCUUGUGUUUCAUACAAGAACAUGCUGGCAAACCAUGUACUAAAUAACCUUUAGUACAUGGAUAUUGAUCAUGAUGAGCUACCAAUCAGGAGACGGGACCACCAGUGUCAUGGCCCGCUUUAUCAAGGGUGUCGACAACAGGGCUACACUCACAAAGAACUGGAGCAGCCUCUUUCAUAAGGCGAACAUGAAGAAAGGGUGUGCAUAUGCUUUCGCCUUCAAGUGCAUGUCCAAGGGCCUCUGCAUGAUUGUCUAUCCAAUCUAAACAAGUCACAAUAGUCCUUUGCUACGUAACUUGGUAUUACUAUAAGUACCUAUCGAGACUUCUAUAUCUGGCAUGAUUUUGGAUCUUAUGUAAAAAAUUAUGAUAAUCCUGU